AUUGAACGCUGGCGGCAGGCCUAACACAUGCAAGUCGAGCGGAUGAAGGGAGCUUGCUCCUGGAUUCAGCGGCGGACGGGUGAGUAAUGCCUAGGAAUCUGCCUGGUAGUGGGGGAUAACGUCCGGAAACGGGCGCUAAUACCGCAUACGUCCUGAGGGAGAAAGUGGGGGAUCUUCGGACCUCACGCUAUCAGAUGAGCCUAGGUCGGAUUAGCUAGUUGGUGGGGUAAAGGCCUACCAAGGCGACGAUCCGUAACUGGUCUGAGAGGAUGAUCAGUCACACUGGAACUGAGACACGGUCCAGACUCCUACGGGAGGCAGCAGUGGGGAAUAUUGGACAAUGGGCGGAAGCCUGAUCCAGCCAUGCCGCGUGUGUGAAGGAGGUCUUCGGAUUGUAAAACACUUUAAGUUGGGAGGAAGGGCAGUAAGUUAAUACCUUGCUGUUUUGACGUUACCAACAGAAUAAGCACCGGCUAACUUCGUG
rnacentral:rRNA from 1 species